UUACUUUCAUGAUGAUUGUACCAGCACAUGAGUCUAUGAUCGACGCAUAAUCAGGACAAAGAAAGAGAUGUUUGGUUUUCAAUCAAAGAUAUCUUAAAGAAAAAUGAGUCAGUCUUUCAAAAGGUUCCAACGAGUGCACUGUGUCGUUUCGUUGUAAUUAAAUACAUUUCUGGUGUGGUCAAUCCAAAUUUUGGAAUUAAGCCUCUGAUUUUCUUUUUCAUUGGUAUUUGGUUAAUUACAAUAAGUCAUAUUGCUGGAUUCAAUCUUCAACUAAGUUGUGAGUCAAGUUCAUUAUUGUUUGGAUCAAGCCCAGCCUUGAUUCUUCUUAUGUCACUAGAUCAAUUGCGUAUAAGUCACAUUCUUGAGGAAGUUAAGAUGGUCUUCCACGAAAUUAUACACGAUUUCUGCUGACUUAUACCUUGAUCUAUAUCUACAAUUGAUUAAAAAUGAGACAUAUCAACUACGUAAACAGCCACAUUUUCAAGUGCUGAGAUUUUCUCAAAUCUCAAUGAUUUCCAGAUAGGAACAUCUGCUGGCUAAACUGGUUGAUAUGAGACAUUCUAGAAGAUCAAGUUUUGUUAUUGAAUUCCAAUUAGCAAUCAAGUGAGUCUCUGAUCACAUGUCUAUUGGAAGAUUCAGCAUGAAUCUUCACGAAGUUUAUUUUACACUUCUGCUGACAGAACCACUUGAUUCAAUUCUAAUAAAGUUUGAUUAAAAAUGUUGAUUCAAUGUUGUGUCUAAUUACGGGCAUACGUUUCACUCUCAAUGACAUAUUUUUUAAAAAACAAAAUAAAUUUUCACACAAAUAAAUUAUAUAUUGAAGAGAAAUAAAAUUAAGAUCCUAUUAAAUUUUUAUCAUUACUCAAUUUAGUUCACACGACAAUCAGUUUUAAGACAAAAACGAAGUGACUACACGACAAAAUUAUUCUCGAGCAAUUUAACAUACAAUUGACUUGUACAUUAAUAAUUUACAAGAGUCCUUGAGAAAUGGAAGGAUGACAUUGUUAGAAUAUUUGUGGGCAGUAGUUGAACGCACAAAUAUUCGAAGGGAGCUGAGACAACGUGUCCAGUACAAUAGUAUAAGUCAUAAAAGACGCAACAGUUAAAAUUAUUAAUAAUUUUUUUCAAAAUUACUUUUUAUUUGAAUUGAGUUUUUGGGAAAAUUCUAAAUAUAGAUUUACAGAAGAAUUCAAAUAGUUAUUCUGUUGACUUUUGAUUCACUCUCAUGUGAAUGCAGCAUAAAUCUUCUGUCUACUUACGACUUCAUUCUGAACGGUCAAUUUCCCCCUAGUGAAAACCAAAGUGUACAAAGUCUAGAGAUUGUUAUUUAUUUUAUAAUGUUUAACGAAAAAUUAAGUGACUCAUAAAUGAUA